rnacentral:rRNA from 1 species
UACGAAGGGGGCUAGCGUUGCUCGGAAUCACUGGGCGUAAAGCGCACGUAGGCGGCUUUUUAAGUCAGGGGUGAAAUCCUGGAGCUCAACUCCAGAACUGCCUUUGAUACUGAGGAUCUUGAGUUCGGGAGAGGUGAGUGGAACUGCGAGUGUAGAGGUGAAAUUCGUAGAUAUGCGCAAGAACACCAGUGGCGAAGGCGGCUCACUGGCCCGAUACUGACGCUGAGGCACGAAAGCGUGGGGAGCAAACAGG